AUAUAUCAGGAGGGAAAGAAAGAAGGAGCGAAAAGGCCUGCAGACCAAGGAGAAGCAGCUAAGGCGGCUCUCAUAAAGGAAGGCCGAGAGCGAGGAAGGAGGUUUUCGGGCCCGGAGAAAGCGACCUUGGCGCCACAACAGACCGGAGGAAACCAAACCAGGCCAGGCCGCCCCCCGCUUUCGCUCACCUUGGCCUCAGGCGCGGAGGAGGGCCUCUCGACGUCCCCUCAGGCCGCCGGAAAUCUGGCUGGGCUGCCUGCGCACGGUACGUUACGUUACGUUACGUACAAGCGCUUCCCUUUCCUGAAGGGCGCCUUAGCGACGGCGCACACAAACCCCGCCCUCCCGUCACCGGAAGCGAGUGCUCUCGUGAGAGGUGGCCGAAAGGAGACAAGAUAUGAGAGAGAGAGAGAGAGAGAGAGCGAGAUCUCGCGCCGUCACGUGGUCUGCGUUUGUAUACAAGAGUCUUGGAGAGCACAACACAGACUUGGUGAAUAGCACGGCUUAACCGACCUUCUUUCACUUCUGAACACAAAAAUUAUUUCAUAUGUGCAGUUUUGAACAAAUAUUUCUGAGAUAGUGAUCACAUAAAAAUGAAUAGCUCAUGGAAACACUCCAUGUAUGACCUGCCAUUAUAAGAACGCAUUUGAUAUGCCACAUGAUAAAGCCCAGUACUGGAAGAGACUAAACAAUUUAGGAAGGACUUGGUCCAUAUACUUGAACUUAAAUAUGGUGGAGACUAUUGUACUUUGGAUAUAUCAUGAGAAGAUGGGGCCAGGCUGUGGCGCAGGCUGUUGAGCAACCAGCUGCAACAAAUCACUCUGACCAAGAGGUCAUGAGUUCGAGGCCAACUCGGAGCCCCGCGUUUGUCUUGUCUUUGUUCUAUGUUAAGGAAUUGAAUGUUUGCCUUAUAUGUGUAAUGUGAUCCGCCCUGAGUCCCCUUCGAGGUGAGAAGGGCGGAAUAUAAAUACUGUAAAUAAAUAAAUAAGAAGGGUUCAUUAUAUUAUAUUAUAAAACAAUAUACUUGUAGGACAGAAGGGAGUAAGAAAAGAGGAAUACCACAUUACUGGUGGAUAGACUCAAUGGAGGAUGCUACCAUGCUGAGUUUGGAAGACCUGAACAGAGAUGUUGAUAACUGGUGACUUAGUUGGAGGUCUCUCAUUCACUGGUUCAAAAUCAAUUUGACAACAACAAUAAACAAACAAACAAACAACUAUAUUGCCAGUCUUUUCUCAGAACCUACAAAAAUGUCAGAAAAUAUAUUUCACCGAAAUGAGCCCUUGGUAUCCAUUGGGAUUUUGGUCCAUGACCCCAGUCCAUACUAAAAUCCAUAGCUGCUCAAACCUAUUAUAUGCAAUGGUGUUGUAAAAUGCCGUCCCUACUAUAAAAUAGCAAAAUUGUUGGUUGCCUUUUGGAUUUUUUUCUUAAUCAAGCCAUGGCUCUUUGAAUUUGUGGAUACGAAAUCCAUGAAUACGGGGGGGGGGGGGGGGGAUUGUAUUAUUGUACAAAUAUAAAUAGAAUAUAAAUCUCACUUACCUAGUUUACAACAAACCUCACAACCACUGAGGAUGCCUGCCAUAGGUGUGGGCGAAACAUCAGGAGAAAAUGCUUCUGGAAGAUGGCCAUACAGCCCGGAAAACUCACAGCAACCCAGUGAUUCCGGCCUUGAAAGCCUUUGACAACACAUAAAUAGAAAUAAUUAUUAUUUUGGUAUUAGCCUUUCUUCAAGCUUCUUAGACAACAUGCAUGGUUUCUCCCAUUCUCCUGAUCUUAUUCU
ensembl:lncRNA